CCUACGGGUGGCAGCAGUGGGGAAUUUUGCGCAAUGGGGGAAACCCUGACGCAGCAACGCCGCGUGCGGGACGCAGGCCCUCGGGUUGUAAACCGCUUUCAGCAGGGAAGACUUUACGACGGUACCUGCAGAAGAAGCUCCGGCUAAGUACGUGCACGCAGCCGCGGUGAUACGUAGGGGGCGAGCGUUGUCCGGAUUAAUUGGGCGUAAAGCGCGCGUAGGCGGUCGCCUCAGCGGGACCUCUAACCCCGGGUCUAAACCCCGGGCCGGGUCGCGGACUGGGCGGCUGGAGUGCGGUAGGGGAGAGCGGAAUUCACGGUGUAGCGGUGGAAUGCGCAGAUAUCGGGAAGAACACCGAUGGCGAAGGCAGCUCUCUGGGCCGUCACUGACGCUGAGGCGCGAAAGCUGGGGGAGCGAACAGGAUUAGAUACCCGAGUAGUC
rnacentral:rRNA from 1 species